ensembl:lncRNA novel transcript
GAGUAGCUGGGAUUGCAGGCACCUGCCACCACACCCGGCUAAUUUUUGUAUUUUUAGCAGAGACAGGGUUUCACCAUGUUGGUCAGGCAGGUCUUGGACUCCUGACCUCAUGAUCCACCUGCCUCAGCCUCCCAAAGGAAGCUUUUAUAGAAGACUCACCCAUAUUGCAGACUCAUUCUCUGCUUGUAGUCAUUGGCCAGAAUUGUGUCACGUGGUCACGCUUAGCGGCGAGGUAAAGGUGCCUGGCUCUGAGACGGGUCAGCUGAGAUGAGUCAGUCGGAAGAAAGCAUUCAACUGGAAAUAAAUCACCGCUUCACAAGCACCAAGAACGAAGAAAAGAAGGGAGAGAAAAGAGAGAAAGAGGAGGAAAAACAUUUCCUCGUGGAGACCAUUUUCUUGGUUUGAAUGGUGAAGAAAUGAUGGACGCUGUUUGUCUCAAACAAGGACUCUAAUGAUACAACAGAACAAGUCACAAGAAAGCUUGCCUGGAAAACCAUACACUGGCCUCUUCGUGGUGAAGUCCUUCACAAUCCUUACAAACAUAGAAAAUAUUCAGCAAUUCGUUUGUUUGUUUUCCAGUCCACUCUUACUUGAGAAAAAUGCAAAACAUCAAAGACACAGAAAAACCACCAGUCUAUACAGCUUGCCCAUACUAAAUUGUUAUUCAUUUCAGAAGAGUGUACAGUUUCUUUCUGUAAGACUCUAUUAAACCAGUUACUCUACAAUAGCAAACAUUUUAGGCAAACCUAACCAUUGCUUCCCAUAAAGAUAUUUAUAUCUUUAAGUGGUAUCUGAUUCAUCCCUAAGAAAUAUGUUAUCAAGAUGUUUGUUUGUUUGUUUGUUUGUUCAUUUGUUUUUGAGAUGGAGUUUCACUCUUGUUGCCCAGGCUGGAGUGCAGUGGCAUGAUCUCGGUUCACUGCAACCUCUGCCUCCCGGUUCAAGCGAUUCUCCUGCCUCAGCCUCCCGAGUAGCUGGGAUUACUGGCACCCACCACCACUCCCAGCUAAUUUUUUGUAUUUUUAAUAGAGACGGGGUUUCACCAUGUUGGCCAGGCUGGUCUCAAACUCCUGACCUCAGGUGAUCCACUUGCCUCGACCUCCCAAAGUGCUGGGAUAACAGGCAUGAGCCAUUGCACCCGGCCGAAGAUUUUUGUUUUGACUGUUUUUUUCUGAACUACAGGGAAACGAAGGCUUUUAUGUUAUUGUCCCCCUUUUCUCACUAACUGGACUUCCUGUGACACGUGAAGACGCUAUGCAUGUUUAAUAAAUACACUUUGAAUUUAA